AACGAACGCUGGCGGCAGGCCUAACACAUGCAAGUCGAGCGAUCCUAGCAAUAGGGGAGCGGCAGACGGGUGAGUAACACGUGGGAACGUACCCUUCGGUUCGGAAUAACUCAGGGAAACUUGAGCUAAUACCGGAUACGUCCGAGAGGAGAAAGAUUUAUCGCCGAAGGAUCGGCCCGCGUCUGAUUAGCUAGUUGGUGAGGUAACGGCUCACCAAGGCGACGAUCAGUAGCUGGUCUGAGAGGAUGAUCAGCCACAUUGGGACUGAGACACGGCCCAAACUCCUACGGGAGGCAGCAGUGGGGAAUAUUGGACAAUGGGCGCAAGCCUGAUCCAGCCAUGCCGCGUGAGUGAUGAAGGCCUUAGGGUUGUAAAGCUCUUUUAC
rnacentral:rRNA from 1 species